rnacentral:rRNA from 1 species
GACGAACCAAGCGAACGUUAUUCGGAAUUACUGGGCUUAAAGCGCGUGUAGGCGGAUGACCACGUCAGUCGUUGAAAUCCCCCGGCUCAACCGGGGAACAGGCGCUGAUACGAGUUGUCUGGAGGUGGGUAGGGGAGACUGGAACUUCCGGUGGAGCGGUGAAAUGCGUUGAGAUCGGAAGGAACGCCCGCGGCGAAAGCGAGUCUCUGGACCCAUUCUGACGCUGAGACGCGAAAGCCAGGGGAGCAAACGGGAUUAGAAACCCUAGUAGUCC